rnacentral:rRNA from 1 species
GACCGGCAAACGGGUGCGGAACACGUACAGAACCUUCCUUCGAGCGGGGAAUAGCCCAGAGAAAUUUGGAUUAAUACCCCAUAGUAUAUUGAAGAGGCAUCUCUUUACUAUUAAAGAUUUAUCACUUGAAGAUGGCUGUGCGGCUGAUUAGGUAGUUGGCGGGGUAACGGCCCACCAAGCCCACGAUCAGUAACUGGUGUGAGAGCACGACCAGUCACACGGGCACUGAGACACGGGCCCGACUCCUACGGGAGGCAGCAGUAAGGAAUAUUGGUCAAUGGACGAAAGUCUGAACCAGCCAUGCCGCGUGGAGGAUGAAGGUCCUCUGGAUUGUAAACUUCUUUUAUAUGGGACGAAAAAGGGUCUUUCUAGAUCAACUGACGGUACCAUAUGAAUAAGCACCGGCUAACUCCGUGCCAGCAGCCGCGGUAAUACGGAGGGUGCAAGCGUUAUCCGGAUUCACUGGGUUUAAAGGGUGCGUAGGUGGGUUGGUAAGUCAGUGGUGAAAUCCCCGAGCUUAACUUGGGAACUGCCAUUGAUACUAUCAGUCUUGAAUACCGUGGAGGUCAGCGGAAUAUGUCAUGUAGCGGUGAAAUGCUUAGAUAUGACAUAGAACACCAAUUGCGAAGGCAGCUGGCUACGCGAAUAU